CCUACGGGUGGCAGCAGUGAGGAAUAUUGGUCAAUGGGCGUAAGCCUGAACCAGCCAUGUCGCGUGAGGGAUGAAGGUUCUAUGAAUUGUAAACCGCUUUUGUAAGAGGAUAAAGUGCGGGACGCGUCCCGUUUUGUAUGUAUCUUAUGAAUAAGGAUCGGCUAACUCCGUGCCAGCAGCCGCGGUAAUACGGAGGAUUCGAGCGUUAUCCGGAUUUAUUGGGUUUAAAGGGUGCGUAGGCGGUCGGUUAAGUUAGAGGUGAAAUCCUGUGGCUCAACCACGGAAUUGCCGUUGAUACUGGUAGGCUAGAGAAUGGUUGAGGCAGGCGGAAUGUAUGGUGUAGCGGUGAAAUGCUUAGAGAUCACGCAGAACCCCGAGUGCGAAGGCAGCCUGCCAAGCCAUGACUGACGUUGAGGCACGAAAGCGUGGGGAGCAAACAGGAUUAGAUACCCCUGUAGUC
rnacentral:rRNA from 1 species